AAAUAAUGUUGAUAAUGUAAACAAAGAUUAGAAAAAAUACAAAAGGAUUGGUUUCCGUGAUUUUGACUGGGCUGUAACACUCUUCCUAUUCACAGGCGCUAUCCCGCUACUGAUCAACGUGGGAACUUUUGGCUGCUCCCUUUCGGGCCUCGCCCGGUUCGUUCCUCCUUAGACAACCUGGCCACCUCAGGCUACCCUGGGAUAUCCAUAUUGACGCCGAGCUUAGCGCGGACGCCCGAUCGUCAUAGGACAGAGCGCCACAGGGCUCCCAACCUCACACCGUCCUCCAACCCAAGCCUCCAAGUAGCUGGAUUACAAGCGCACGCCACUGCGCCCGGCGAUGUUGGACCAUCGAAAGCUUCCCUUUAUUAUCCUGCCAUAAGCUCCGCCCACUAAUCUGUGACGUCACAAGAACAGCGACUUCCCCAUUAUCCUGUUUGACUCGCGCUGGUUGCAGUGAUAUAGAUUCGCUGUUAAUAACAAAGCGGGCAGAACAUUCCAACGUCGCGAAUCAAAACACUCCACACAUGUCUCGUACAAUCCGUUCCUAAUCAAUGACUCUCAUGCUCGCAUAGGAAUGGUUGUGGGCGUGUGUAUAAGGAGACUGUAUAAGAAGACUUACUCAGAACUGCAGGCUCAUAUCGCAGCUACUGUGUAUGGUGAUGAACCAACUAUUGUCUACAUCCCAGGUAACCUUGCGUAUUGCGCCGUAGUAGCUCAUCCUUAUAGAAUAUAACUGUAUAUGAUGAUGUUGUAUCUGUAUGAUGAAAUUUAAAAGAUUGCAUACAAGAGAAAUACUGGUA